CCUACGGGGGGCAGCAGUGGGGAAUAUUGCACAAUGGGCGCAAGCCUGAUGCAGCGACGCCGCGUGGGGGAUGACGGCCUUCGGGUUGUAAACUCCUUUCGCUAGGGACGAAGCGCAAGUGACGGUACCUGGAGAAGAAGCACCGGCUAACUACGUGCCAGCAGCCGCGGUAAUACGUAGGGUGCGAGCGUUGUCCGGAAUUACUGGGCGUAAAGAGCUCGUAGGUGGUUUGUCGCGUCGUUUGUGUAAGCCCGCAGCUUAACUGCGGGACUGCA
rnacentral:rRNA from 1 species